rnacentral:rRNA from 1 species
UGCCAGACUCCUACGGGAGGCAGCAGUGAGGAAUAUUGGUCAAUGGCCGUAAGGCUGAACCAGCCAAGUAGCGUGAGGGAAGACUGCCCUAUGGGUUGUAAACCUCUUUUAUGCGGGGAUAAAGGUGUCCACGUGUGGAUGUUUGCAGAUACCGCAUGAAUAAGGACCGGCUAAUUCCGUGCCAGCAGCCGCGGUAAUACGGAAGGUCCGGGCGUUAUCCGGAUUUAUUGGGUUUAAAGGGUGCGUAGGCGGAGGCUUAGGUCAGAGGUAAAAUGGGGGGGCUCAACGUCGUCGAGCCGUUGAAACUGGGUGCCUUGAGUGGGCGAGAAGUACGCGGAAUGCGUGGUGUAGCGGUGAAAUGCAUAGAUAUCACGCAGAACUCCGAUUGCGAAGGCAGCAUACCGGCGCCCAACUGACGCUGAAGCACGAAAGCGUGGGUAUCGAACAGGAUUAGAUACCCCUGUA